AAUUUGGCCUGCCCCCUGAUAUUUGAAUUAAAGGGCCGCAGUAUUAAUAACUGUGCAAAGGUAGCAUAAUCAUUAGGUUUUUAAUUGGAAUCUUGUAUGAAAGGUUAGACAAAAGAAUAACUCUCUUUAUAUUAAUGUUGAAUUUAACUUUUAAGUGAAAAGGCUUAAAUAAACUAGGGGGACGAUAAGACCCUAUAAAACUUUACAUUGUAGUUAUAUUUUAGUGAAUUUAUAAUAUAAAAAUUUAAUUUAAUUUAUUUGUUAUGUUGGGGAGACAUAAGUAAAAUUUAUUUUAACUGCUUAAUAGUUAUACAAUUAUUAGUGAUAAAUUUGUAGAAGAUCCUUUUUGAAGAUUAGUAGGUUAAGUUACUUUAGGGAUAACAGCGUAAUUUCCUUUAAGAGUUCUUAUCGAAAGGGAAGGUUGCGACCUCGAUGUUGAAUUAAAAAAUCUAUAUAAUGAAGAGAUUAUAUAAAGAAGGUCUGUUCGACCUUUAAAAUUUU
rnacentral:rRNA from 1 species